CUGAGGCCCAAAGGAGCCCAACUGGGGGUGACCGAAGGCCCCGAGGGCAGCCAAGGCCCGAAGGAGCUUUGGCCAAGGCCCCAAAUGGCGCCCAAAGCCCCAAAAUGGCAAGCAGGACUCAAAGGAGCCCAAACUGAUGGUGACUGAGUCCCCAAAAGAGCUUUGCCCACAGCCCCAAAAUGGCGCCCAUGGCCCCAAAUGGUGCCCAAGGCCCAAAGGAGCCAAACUGGUGGUGCCCAAAGCCCCACACGGCGGCCAAGACCCCACAGCGUCAACCAAGGCCCCAUACGGUGGCCGAGGCCCCAAAACGGCACCUUCUGCCAAGCCCCAAAACGGCGGUCAGGACCCCAAACGGUGACCGAAGGCAAAAUGGUGGAGGGGACCAACGCCGCAAGCGAUGCCCAACACGGCGCCUCACACCGAGGCCUCACCAGCACCGACCCACGGCGCAGCCCCCAUGUCCCCGGGUGACCCCGCUGUGCCCCCCUGCCCGGUGCGGUCAUAGCUCAUCGCGGGCGGUGCUGUCGAGGGGGGACUGCAGCACGUCCGAGUUUUUGGCCUCCCGGCGCAGCUCCUGCUGCUCUUUCAUCUUCUGGGACUUGGCGCGAUCCCAGUCCGUCUUGAUCUUCUCGUUGUCCCACACCACAGACGUCUCCGUGUCGCUGAUGUAGCCGUCGUCGCCGGUGUAGUGAGUGGGAUAAACCAGCAGCGGCUCCACCGAAAAGGCCAGCAGGUUGCGGGUCUUGAAGUGCUUCAUGUAGUCGGAGACGGGAUGUUUGUUGAACAUGAUGGGGAGGAAUUCAUCGACGGGCAGCAUUUUGGACAGCGG
rnacentral:lncRNA from 1 species